rnacentral:rRNA from 1 species
UACAGAGGGGGCAAGCGUUAUUCGGAAUUAUUGGGCGUAAAGGGCGCGUAGGCGGCGCAACAAGUCACUUGUGAAAUCUCCGGGCUUAACCCGGAGCGGUCAAGUGAUACUGUCGUGCUAGUAGUGGCGGAAGGGCUGACUGGAAUUCUCGGUGUAGCGGUGAAAUGCGUAGAUAUCGAGAGGAACACCUGCGGCGGAAGGCGGGUAGCUGGGCCGACACUACGUGA